rnacentral:rRNA from 1 species
AUUGAACGCUGGCGGCAUGCUUUACACAUGCAAGUCGAACGGUAACAGGCCGCAAGGUGCUGACGAGUGGCGAACGGGUGAGUAAUGCAUCGGAACGUGCCCAGUCGUGGGGGAUAACGCAGCGAAAGCUGCGCUAAUACCGCAUACGAUCUAUGGAUGAAAGCGGGGGACCGUAAGGCCUCGCGCGAUUGGAGCGGCCGACGUCAGAUUAGGUAGUUGGUGGGGUAAAGGCUCACCAAGCCGACGAUCUGUAGCUGGUCUGAGAGGACGACCAGCCACACUGGGACUGAGACACGGCCCAGACUCCUACGGGAGGCAGCAGUGGGGAAUUUUGGACAAUGGGCGCAAGCCUGAUCCAGCAAUGCCGCGUGCAGGAUGAAGGCCUUCGGGUUGUAAACUGCUUUUGUACGGAACGAAAAGACUCUUUCUAAUAAAGAGGGUCCAUGACGGUACCGUAAGAAUAAGCACCGGCUAACUACGUGCCAGCAGCCGCCGUAACAC